AGAGUCUUAGGGACUCGGCGUACCGCUCAGUAACACGUGGGUAACCUGCCCUAUGCUGGGGAAUAACCUCGGGAAACUGAGAAUAAUGCCCCAUAGUCCACAAUGCCUGGAACGGUUUGUGGAUCAAAGCUCCGGCGGCAUAGGAUGGGCCUGCGGCGUAUCAGGUUGUAGGGGGUGUAACGUACCCUCUAGCCAUCAACGCGUACGGGUGUUGGGAGACAUAGCCCGGAGAUGGAUUCUGAGACACGAAUCCAGACCCUACGGGGUGCAGCAGGCGCGAAAACUUGGCAAUGCGAGAAAUCGUGACCAGGGAACUCCAAGUGGCUGGGGUAAGACCCAGUCUUUUCUUGACUCUUCAAAGGUCUUGGAAUAAGGGGUGGGUAAGGACGGUGCCAGCCGCCGCGGUAAUACCGGCGCCUCAAGUGGUAGUCGAUUUUAUUGGGCCUAAAACGUCCGUCGCCUGUUUGGUACAUUCGUGGGUAAAUCAACCAGCUCAACUGGUUGAAUUCUGCGAGCACGGCCAGACUUGGGACCGGGAGAGGUGUGGGGUACGCUCAGGGUAGGGGUAAAAUCCUGUCAUCCUGAGCGGACCACCUGUUGCGAAGGCGCCACACUAGAACGGAUCCGACGGUCAGGGACGAAGCCUAGGGGCACGAACCGGAUUAGAUACCCGGGUAGUCCUAGGUGUAAA
rnacentral:rRNA from 1 species